CGGGGCGUAGCGAAGCUUGGCUAUCGCGCCUGGUUUGGGACCAGGAGAUCGUCAGUUCGAAUCUGACCGCCCCGA
rnacentral:tRNA from 1 species